rnacentral:tRNA from 1 species
UCCUUGGUGGCUCAGUGGUAAAGAAUCUGCCUGCCAAUGCAGAAGAUAUGGGUUCAAUCCCUAGUCCGGGAA